CGGAUUUCAAAAGGGAGGGGCUUGAGAGGGCUGCUCCCCAGCUCAGGUGGCAAAGUGUUGCUCGCUUCUCACGGACAGUUUGGCCAAGCGCUUCCGUUUCCAUUGCAAUCAGCAGCUUCCUAGAAAAGGGCCCAUUGGCAAGCAUCAUGGAGAAAGAAACAAGGAAGACAGAUGAAUCAGGACAAAGAGAAAGGAAAAGAGGAUGCAAAUCAGAGGAGCACGGAAGAGUCUGAAAUAAAGGCAAAGAGACAAGAAUUCUGAUUAAGAAGCCUUGAAGAGAUCAACAAGGGCCCAGGCUGUUGCUCAGAGGGAUAGCAUUUGCUAAACAUGUGCAGGGCCUCAGGUUUGAUCACAGCAGCACAUCCACACAAAAGCCACUCUAUCACUUCCUGCAGACCCUUCCCCUUUUAUAUAAUUAGAGAAAUACUUCCAAUAGAUGCAUGGUUAUUUGUUGGGGUGGUGGUGGUGAGAAAGGGUCUCAUU
ensembl:lncRNA